UGCCCCAAAGCGAACUAUUCUUUCGCCUUUUACUAAAGAAUACCGAGUGCUUAAGGAGCAUACUUCACUUUUUGAAGGGGUUUUUCUUCUCCACGGAAUGU
rnacentral:snRNA from 1 species